rnacentral:rRNA from 1 species
UACGUAGGGUGCGAGCGUUAAUCGGAAUUACUGGGCGUAAAGCGUGCGCAGGCGGCUUUGCAAGACAGAUGUGAAAUCCCCGGGCUCAACCUGGGAACUGCAUUUGUGACUGCAAGGCUAGAGUACGGCGGAGGGGGAUGGAAUUCCGCGUGUAGCAGUGAAAUGCGUAGAUAUGCGGAGGAACACCAAUGGCGAAGGCAAUCCCCUGGGCCUGUACUGACGCUCAUGCACGAAAGCGUGGGGAGCAAACAGG